GGUCAUGAGGGUGCAGGCCCCUGGGGGGGACGAGGUCAUGAGGGUGCAGGCCCCUGGGGGGGGACGAGGUCAUGGGGGUGCAGGCCCCUGCGGGGGGGGACGAGGUCAUGGGGGUGCAGGCCCCUGGGGGGGCGGGGGGCGGGGGGGGGGGCUCCCCGCGCAGGAGGAGCAGGGCCUGCGGGAAGCGCUGCGCGGGCCUGGGCUGCUCCCGCUGCGGGGCUCCCUGGGGCCGCCCGACCCGAGGGCACCCCUCCGCCCACCACCCCGACACCCCUGGCCCUGGGUGCCCCGGCCGCCGGCUGCGUGAGGGAGGGGGAGGCGCGGCGGGUGGGCGGCAGCUUGGCCGCCGCGCCCCUGACUCAGAGCCUGGCCGCAGCUCCAGCCCGGGCGCCCGCGGGUCACGGGGCGGGUGACGUCAGCCUGAGCCCCGCGGGCGGGGAAACUGAGGCCGGGGGGCGUGGCCGCCCAGGGUCGGGCCGCGGGGAGCCAGGGAGGGGCCCGCUGAGAACCUGCCCGCCCCCCUGCCCCCCCCCGCCCCUCACCCCCCCACCCCCGCACUGGGCUCCGCUGGCCCCUGGGAGCCUGGGGCCGGGAAGGGGACCCCCGCGGUGCGAGGUCCGGGGCGGGGGGGCGGGGCUGUGCCGAGCGGCCCCCCAGCGCCUCCCCCGCGCGCCCCGAUCCACGCCCCGAGUCGCCCCGUGCGGCCUGGGGGCUCCCGCCGCCCCGACAGUCCCUGCGGCCUUCGGGGCCCGCCCCGCCCGGGGUCCCGGGAGAGGAGGCCCCUCGUGUGCGUGUGCGUGUGCGUGUGCGUGUGCGCCCCGGGCCGCCGGCCUCUCCCGCCCACCGGGUGGCACGUCCACGGCCGCGGGGCUCCCUGACCCGGGGUCAGGACCGGGCCUCCCGAGCUCCGCAGCCACCGCCCUCGGGGUGUGGGGCCCCUUCCCUCCCGCGGCCCCGGGGCCCCGGAACCACCUCCACGCAGCCCCCCGGGGACCAGCCGCCGCGCCGGGAGGAGCGCAGGCCGCGCAGGUCACGCCCAGCCAUGCACGGCCACGCGGGCGACACAGGCCACGCAGGACACGCAGGUGAGCGCAGGCCACGGACAGGUCACGCUAGGCGCCGG
rnacentral:lncRNA from 1 species